rnacentral:rRNA from 1 species
GACGAACGCUGGCGGCGUGCUUAACACAUGCAAGUCGAGCGGAAAGGCCACUUCGGUGGUACUCGAGCGGCGAACGGGUGAGUAACACGUGAGUAAUCUGCCCCUGGCUUUGGGAUAGCCACCGGAAACGGUGAUUAAUACCGGAUAUGACCACGUCUCGCAUGGGGUGUGGUGGAAAGUUUUUCGGCCAGGGAUGUGCUCGCGGCCUAUCAGCUUGAUGGUGAGGUAAUGGCUCACCAUGGCUUCGACGGGUAGCCGGCCUGAGAGGGUGACCGGUCACACUGGGACUGAGACACGGCCCAGACUCCUACGGGAGGCAGCAGUGGGGAAUAUUGGACAAUGGGCGGAAGCCUGAUUCAGCAACGCCGCGUGAGGGAUGACGGCCUUCGGGUUGUAAACCUCUUUCAGUACCGACGAAGCGCAAGUGACGGUAGGUACAGAAGAAGCACCGGCCAACUACGUGCCAGCAGCCGCGGUAAAAC